rnacentral:rRNA from 1 species
GACAGCAGUCGCCGCGGUAAUACGUAGGUGGCAAGCGUUGUCCGGAAUUAUUGGGCGUAAAGCGCGCGCAGGCGGUUUCUUAAGUCUGAUGUGAAAGCCCCCGGCUUAACCGGGGAGGGUCAUUGGAAACUGGGAGACUUAGAGUGCGGAAGAGGAGAGUGGAAUUCCAUGUGUAGCGGUGAAAUGCGUAGAUAUAUGGAGGAACACCAGUGGCGAAGGCGACUCUCUGGUCUGUAACUGACGCUGAGGCGCGAAAGCGUGGGGAGCAAACAGGAUUAGAUACCCGCGUAGUCCCUGUCUCUUAUA